UACGAAGGGGGCUAGCGUUGCUCGGAAUUACUGGGCGUAAAGCGCACGUAGGCGGCUUUCUAAGUCGGGGGUGAAAUCCUGGAGCUCAACUCCAGAACUGCCUUCGAUACUGGAGAGCUUGAGUCCGGGAGAGGUGAGUGGAACUGCGAGUGUAGAGGUGAAAUUCGUAGAUAUUCGCAAGAACACCAGUGGCGAAGGCGGCUCAUGGACCACAACUGACGCUGAGGCGCGAAAGCUAGGGGAGCAAACAGG
rnacentral:rRNA from 1 species